rnacentral:lncRNA from 1 species
AAAAGAAAAGAAAAGAAAAGAAAAGAAAAAUAGAAGCUCCUGGCUGGUCGGCCUCCCCUCAGUGUCUCUCGCUCAUCAUGUAGGGCUGAGAAACACAUAGGAUUGAAUUUUGUGGUAAGUGAUGCUGGUGUGUGUGUGUGUGUGUGUGUGUGUGUGUGUGUAUACACACGUAUGUAGUAUGGUUAUCCAUGCAACAUCCAUCUGCAUCCAUGGAGAGGCCCAGACAGGACAUGAGCGUGUCUUCCUCCAUAACUCUCCACCUAAUUGCCUGGAAGCUCACAUCUUGCCUAGGCAGGAUGAGCAAUAAAGUCCUAAGGUCUGUCUGUCUCUGUUACAGGGAUGGCUUUUAUGUGGGUGCUGGGGGAUUUGAACUAAGGUCCUCAUGUUCACUGAACAAACGCUCUUCCCAGCUAAGCUAUCUUCCCACUAAGCUAUCUUCCCAGCCCUUUGAGGUAGGACAGAGACUCUCUAAUGAGAUAGAUAUGACUGGGUUGGUGGCUCAACCUGGCCAUCCAGUGGCAGGAAAGCGGGAAGUGAAUCACCAUGACUUUGAGACCAGUCUGGGCUACGUAGCUUAAGUCCUAGCUGAUGAAGUAUGUGGGCGGUUGACAAUGAAACCCUUAGACGGGCGGCUGAACAGGAGUGGUGGUGGUGGGGUUUACAUGGUGGCUUGGACACUCAGUCUUUACUUUCUAUCCUGAGUGUCUCCUGCUUCUCUUCCCGCAGGGUCCAGGAGCUGGAGCUGUCAGAAAGGAGGCUUCUCUUGAAGGUGGAACAGCUGAGUGCCUGUGUGGCCGAGGAAAGAAGUGCCACAAUCCGCGUCCAGGAGCAGCUGCAGGCACUGAAGGGGACACUGGUCAGCCAGGUGCGGGAGGCAGAGAGUGCGGUCCGACGGCAGCGGCGGCUGCAGGAGCGGCUGCGGCGCAAGGACGAGGCGCUGGCACGGCAGGCGGCGGCCCUGAAGCGUUGCGGGCGGGUGCAGCGGCAGCAGCUGGGCCUGGUGCGGGAGCAGGAGCGCGUUCUG